rnacentral:sRNA from 1 species
CCGGUCCGCCCCCUGGACGCUACGGGCGCACCGGGCGGCGGCCCCGCUACCCUGGGCGGGUGCGCCUUCCCGGAGGAGCCGCAAAGCCGACAGCCGUCGCAACCAGGGAGCCCUUACAUG